AAACUAACAGAUUUACUUCGGUAAUGACGUUAGGAAAGCGAGCGGCGGAUGGGUGAGUAACACGUGGGGAACCUGCCCCAUAGUCUGGGAUACCACUUGGAAACAGGUGCUAAUACCUGAUAAGAAAGCAGAUCGCAUGAUCAGCUUUUAAAAGGCGGCGUAAGCUGUCGCUAUGGGAUGGCCCCGCGGUGCAUUAGCUAGUUGGUAAGGUAAAGGCUUACCAAGGCGAUGAUGCAUAGCCGAGUUGAGAGACUGAUCGGCCACAUUGGGACUGAGACACGGCCCAAACUCCUACGGGAGGCAGCAGUAGGGAAUCUUCCACAAUGGACGCAAGUCUGAUGGAGCAACGCCGCGUGAGUGAAGAAGGUUUUCGGAUCGUAGAGCUCUGUUGUUGGUGAA
rnacentral:rRNA from 1 species